rnacentral:rRNA from 1 species
UCAAUAAGCGGAGGAAAAGAAACCAACAGGGAUUGCCCUAGUAACGGCGAGUGAAGCGGCAACAGCUCAAAUUUGAAAUCUGGCUUCGGCCCGAGUUGUAAUUUGCAGAGGAAGCUUUAGGCGCGGCACCUUCUGAGUCCCCUGGAACGGGGCGCCAUAGAGGGUGAGAGCCCCGUAUAGUUGGAUGCCUAGCCUGUGUAAAGCUCCUUCGACGAGUCGAGUAGUUUGGGAAUGCUGCUCAAAAUGGGAGGUAAAUUUCUUCUAAAGCUAAAUACCGGCCAGAGACCGAUAGCGCACAAGUAGAGUGAUCGAAAGAUGAAAAGCACUUUGAAAAGAGGGUUAAAUAGCACGUGAAAUUGUUGAAAGGGAAGCGCUUGUGACCAGACUUGCGCCGGGCGGAUCAUCCGGUGUUCUCACCGGUGCACUCCGCCCGGCUCAGGCCAGCAUCGGUUCUCGCGGGGGGAUAAAGGUCCUGGGAACGUAGCUCCUCCGGGAGUGUUAUAGCCCGGGGCGUAAUGCCCUCGCGGGGACCGAGGUUCGCGCAUCUGCAAGGAUGCUGGCGUAAUGGUCAUC